rnacentral:rRNA from 1 species
GCUUGUCUCAAAGAUUAAGCCAUGCAUGUCCAAGUAUAAACAGAUUGUACGGUGAAACUGCGAAAGGCUCAUUAUAACAGAUAUAAUUUAGAUGGUGGGAGAGAAGGAAAGGACUACAAGGAUAACCGUGGUAAUUCUAGAGCUAAUACAUGAAGAGAAGACCCGACUUUUAGGGGAAGGGGACCGUUUAUUAGAUUACAAGCCAAGAAAGAAAGGUGAAUCAAGAUAACAGAGGAGAUCGUAAGGCAUCAUAGGGCCGACGACGCAUCAAAGAAAUAUCUGGCCUAUCAACUUUGGAUGGUAGGAUAGAGGCCUACCAUGGUGGUGACGGGUAACGGGGGAUUAGGGUUCGAUUCCGGAGAGGGAGCCUGAGAAAUGGCUACCACUUCCAAGGAAGGCAGCAGG